GACCUGGUGGUGAAAUGAAUCACACCCACUCUGCCUAUUGAGAUUCUAUAUCUGUGUGUGGGGGUCCCUGGUUCGAAUCCGGGCCAGGUCA